GACGAACGCUGGCGGCGUGCUUAACACAUGCAAGUCGAACGGAAAGGCCUCUUUCGGGGGGUACUCGAGUGGCGAACGGGUGAGUAACACGUGAGUAACCUGCCCUUGACUUUGGAUAACUUCAGGAAACUGGGGCUAAUACCGGAUAGGAGCUCCUGCUGCAUGGGGGGGGGUGGGAAGGUUCGGCGGUUGGGGAUGGACUCGCGGCUUAUCAGCUUGUUGGUGGGGUAGUGGCUUACCAAGGCUUUGACGGGUAGCCGGCCUGAGAGGGUGACCGGCCACAUUGGGACUGAGAUACGGCCCAGACUCCUACGGGAGGCAGCAGUGGGGAAUAUUGCACAAUGGGUGGAAGCCUGAUGCAGCAACGCCGUGUGCGGGAUGACGGCCUUCGGGUUGUAAACCGCUUUCGCUCAUGACGAAGCUUUGUGUGACGGUAGUGGGUAAAGAAGCACCGGCUAACUACGUG
rnacentral:rRNA from 1 species